rnacentral:rRNA from 1 species
GUUGGGUAGGGGAGCGUUCUGUAAGCCUGCGAAGGUGUACUGUGAGGUAUGCUGGAGGUAUCAGAAGUGCGAAUGCUGACAUAAGUAACGAUAAUGCGGGUGAAAAACCCGCACGCCGGAAGACCAAGGGUUCCUGUCCAACGUUAAUCGGGGCAGGGUGAGUCGACCCCUAAGGCGAGGCUGAAAAGCGUAGUCGAUGGGAAACGGGUUAAUAUUCCCGUACUGGUGGUAACUGCGAUGGGGGAACGGAGAAGGCUAGGUUGUCCGGGCGACGGUCGUCCCGGUUCAAGCAGGUAGGCAGAGUGAUUAGGCAAAUCCGGUCACUUAAUGCUGAGAUGUGAUGACGAACCACCAAGGUGGUGAAGCAAUUGAUGCCCCGCUUCCAGGAAAAGCCUCUAAGCUUCAGGUUACCAACAAUCGUACCCCAAACCGACACAGGUGGUCAGGUAGAGAAUACUCAGGCGCUUGAGAGAACUCGGGUGAAGGAACUAGGCAAAAUGGUGCCGUAACUUCGGGAGAAGGCACGCUGGCGGUAGGUAAAGUCCCUUGCGGACGGCGCUGAAGCCAGUCGAAGAUACCAGCUGGCUGCAACUGUUUAUUAAAAACACAGCACUGUGCAAACACGAAAGUGGACGUAUACGGUGUGACGCCUGCCCGGUGCUGGAAGGUUAAUUGAUGGGGUCAGCCGUAAGGCGAAGCUCCUGAUCGAAGCCCCAGUAAACGGCGGCCGUAACUAUAACGGUCCUAAGGUAGCGAAAUUCCUUGUCGGGUAAGUUCCGACCUGCACGAAUGGCGUAAUGAUGGCCAGGCUGUCUCCACCCGAGACUCAGUGAAAUUGAACUCGCUGUGAAGAUGCAGUGUACCCGCGGCAAGACGGAAAGACCCCGUGAACCUUUACUAUAGCUUGACACUGAACAUUGAGCCUUGAUGUGUAGGAUAGGUGGGAGGCUUUGAAGUGUGGACGCCAGUCUGCAUGGAGCCAACCUUGAAAUACCACCCUUUAACGUUUGAUGUUCUAACCUAGGCCCAUAAACUGGGUCGGGGACCGUGUCUGGUGGGUAGUUUGACUGGGGCGGUCUCCUCCUAAAGAGUAACGGAGGAGCACGAAGGUUGGCUAAGCAUGGUCGGACAUCAUGCGGUUAGUGCAAAGGCAUAAGCCAGCUUGACUGCGAGAGUGACGGCUCGAGCAGGUACGAAAGUAGGUCUUAGUGAUCCGGUGGUUCUGAAUGGAAGGGCCAUCGCUCAACGGAUAAAAGGUACUCCGGGGAUAACAGGCUGAUACCGCCCAAGAGUUCAUAUCGACGGCGGUGUUUGGCACCUCGAUGUCGGCUCAUCACAUCCUGGGGCUGAAGUAGGUCCCAAGGGUAUGGCUGUUCGCCAUUUAAAGUGGUACGCGAGCUGGGUUUAGAACGUCGUGAGACAGUUCGGUCCCUAUCUGCCGUGGGCGUUGGAAGAUUGAGAGGGGUUGCUCCUAGUACGAGAGGACCGGAGUGAACGCACCACUGGUGUUCGGGUUGUCAUGCCAAUGGCAUUGCCCGGUAGCUAAGUGCGGAAGAGAUAACCGCUGAAAGCAUCUAAGCGGGAAACUUGCCUCGAGAUGAGUCUUCCCU